AGAGAAAAAAGAGGAGGAACUUUGAUAUUUUGAUAUCUUUCCUCUUUCUCUUUGAGGGAUCUGCCACCGGGAGUAGUAACUAUUUUUGUGUCACAUCUAUGAUCCUAGGUGAGAUUGAAGGUCAGAUGGCAGAGAAGUAUGUAGCUGACAGCCAAGACCCACGAUGGCAAGAUCAUGGCUUAUUUACUUGAAUGUUUAGUGUACCGUAUCAGGUUAUGAAACAACCAGUGGCAGCAGCAGGGGCUGCAGAGGCAUAAGCCGCUUGGCAGAUUGUCUCAGUACCGACCUGUGGUCUUUGUGACAAGAAAUGGAUUUAACAUCUGAUAUGGGAUCACAUCAGGCUAAGACCUGGACUCUGCAGAAUUCCUGGUGCUGAAUCCCAGCUUAUCUCUCACUAGCUGUGCAACCCUGGAAACGAUUGAGGGCAUUCACCAGCCAGACAGUCACAGAGUUCAUCAUGGCAGGGUAUCAGCCAGUACGGCAAAAGGAAGAGGUCCCCACUUGCCACCUGCCUCAUCAGAUCCAGGUCUAGCCCUGAUCUUCGCCCCUGGUCAGCAGGAAGAAGCUCCAGAAGAAGAGACCUUCGCCCAACUAUCAUAAAACAAAAGCCUGGAAUGAUAGGUCUCCCACCACCUCAGCAGCUAUUAUGUAUAGUUGCUGCCCUCUUCCUAUGGUGCCUUGCCCCUUCCCCUGUGUGACGUCAUGCCAAGAUGGUUGCUCCCACCAAAGAACAAACCCUUCUUCCCAGCAUGCCCCUGUUCCCACCUAGAGAGUAACCUAAUACUCACUCACCUCCUACCACCUAGUGACAUCACCGGCUCCUCCAUUCCCUAGUCACUACCUCAGUCAACCCUGCCUCAGCCCCUACAAACCCCACCCCAGUCUCUAUAAAAGACUCUCCCUGCCCCAGCCAUAUUGCUUUUGUCUCUCCUUUGUUCAGAGACAGCCCGGCAGAUCUAUUCCCC
rnacentral:lncRNA from 1 species